UACAGAGGUCUCAAGCGUUGUUCGGAUUCAUUGGGCGUAAAGGGUGCGUAGGUGGCGGGGUAAGUCAGGUGUGAAAUUUCGGAGCUUAACUCCGAAACUGCAUUUGAUACUGCCUUGCUUGAGGACUGGAGAGGAGACUGGAAUUCACGGUGUAGCAGUGAAAUGACGUAGAUAUCGUGAGGAGGACCAGUGGCGAAGGCGGGUCUCUGGACAGUUCCGUGACACUGAGGCAGCGAAGG
rnacentral:rRNA from 1 species